GGUUGAAUGGCUGAGUGGAUAUGCCUUCACCUCUGGCUUGGCACUUGCCAAGGCCAGCUUUUAAGUAAGAAAGGCUGUGGGUUCGAAUCCCACACAAACCA